AUGACAGUGGUUGGUCAGCAGCCUCUUACUGUCACGGGUCCGGGAAGCACCUUAAAUGUAAACCGCGUCAAUCCUAGGGUCACACAGCGAUUCUCACCGUCAUGCACCCACCACUCGGACGCAUAUUUCGAGAUCAAACAAGGCAGGACGGGAGCCCAGCUGGAAGGUGCCUUCUCCCCACCCGCGCAGGUCUGCACAGGGCCCCCAGAGGGGCACCCAGGCCCCAGGCCCCCUGAGCUUGGGGACCCCAGCCCCAGGCAGAGCCCAGAGAUGUCACGAGGGGCACGUGAGCCACCGGAGGGACUCCCGGUCGGCACCAGAGCCCGUGCCCACGCUCUCUCCAGCCCCAUGGGGCUGUGCCGCCCCCCAGGUGGGUGGACCCCGCGGCAGAGCACGCAGGUGGGGGGCAGGGGGUCUGGCGGAGGGUGCAGACCCGGAGUGCGGAGCCAGCGUGGAUGGGAGACCAGGCGCCGCAGGACCCCGCUCCGAAGUCAGGGUGGGCCCCUGCCCUUGGGGUUGCGGGGAGGGCGAGGGGCCAUUCUCUGGUGGAAGGACGGCCACGGCCCCCAGCUCCCGCGAUCAGGGCGGGGCUGCGCCGGGGCGGGGGGCUCGGCUUCUCCCUCCUCCCAGAGAGGAAGGAGGACUCCAGGCCUUUUCGCACAUCUUGUGUGUGGUUUCUCUGCUGUCAACAAUCAACAGGGUGACAGAAGGCGGAGCUGGCCCCGCGCAGCCCUGAAGGCGGUGUCCUGGAGGAGCCGCUCCCCCGCCCCUCCCGUCCCCGCCCCUCCCGUCCCCGCCCCUCCCGUCCCCCGCCCCUCCCGUCCCCCACCAGUCCCCGCCCCCUCCCCCUCCCGUCCCCCAGGGUGCGGGGAGGACCCUCGCCCCCCAGGACGGCGAGCCCCGCCCACACCUGCCGCGCGACCCGCUCCCCGGAAAGCCCGGCGCCUGCGCGGGGAGGACUCGCACCCCGCUCCGGGGCCCAGCUCCCGCCUGCGUCCCCAGCCGCGGGCCCCCAGCUCGGCCUCCCGGGGACUCUUCUCCUGGAGGCGGGGCCCCCCGGGGCGCGGCUGGCUCUGGGCGCCCACAGGCCGGGACGGCGGGAGCGGCAGGAGCACCGUCCACUGCGCCCGCGGCGGGCAGGCGCUCGCAGAAUCCAGCGCUCCCGGAAUCAAGUGGGCAUCGACGCGGAUCCUGACAGGCUGCAGCACUUAA
rnacentral:lncRNA from 1 species